AGCACAUGUCUAAGUAUCUAGGUAGCACAAGACUGUUCAUCCAUCUGUCUGUAAAGACCCUGACCAUCAAGACACUCUCUAUAUAUGCAGAUAGAAGGACUUGAGAUUUGAUCAAUAUUAUAUGUUGCACUACUACUUGGACUAGCUCAAGCUAUAACCAAGUCUAAUUAUUAAGAUAUGGCCGCCAUACCGUUCAAGCACCUUCUCCUUGUGGCCUUCAUCUUGCUUUGUUUCAUCUCUAUCACAGCUGAAGGACGAAGCUUGGGAGUGGUUAGUAAGAGUGCUGAUGAUGGUCAUCAGAAGAGCCAUGAUCUUCAUGAUCCCUUUAAACAGAAAGAAGAGGAUCAUGAAGGGUUGCUGCCAGAUGAGAGCAAUGAUUUACUGGCUAUGGAUUACACUCCAGCAAGUAAAAAGCCUCCAAUCCAUAACUAAACAAGCUGCGCCUUGAGGCGAUUUGACGACGCCUCCCCAUGACUCUUUCGAGCCUCAAAGACGCUUUUCAAAACCUUGGUAUAUAGCAGUUUUGUUCAAGCAGUACUAGCAAGUUAAGUUUUGCUUCCUAGCUAGCCCAAAACUCAGAAGAGUGUUAGCUUAGUCUCAAUCUAGAUAUAUAUCCUCAAUCCUCGACACAAAAUAUGAGAAAAACUGCUGAAAAAUACAUGCUACCAGAAAAUAUUGUAAAGCUAUAAAAACAAUAUUUAUUAUCUGAUUGGAUGGUGCUCUA